UGCCAGACUCCUACGGGAGGCAGCAGUGGGGAAUAUUGCACAAUGGGGGAAACCCUGAUGCAGCGACGCCGCGUGAGCGAUGAAGUAUUUCGGUAUGUAAAGCUCUAUCAGCAGGGAAGAAAAUGACGGUACCUGACUAAGAAGCCCCGGCUAACUACGUGCCAGCAGCCGCGGUAAUACGUAGGGGGCAAGCGUUAUCCGGAUUUACUGGGUGUAAAGGGAGCGUAGACGGCGAUGCAAGCCAGAUGUGAAAGCCCGGGGCUCAACCCCGGGACUGCAUUUGGAACUGUAUAGCUGGAGUGUCGGAGAGGCAGGCGGAAUUCCUAGUGUAGCGGUGAAAUGCGUAGAUAUUAGGAGGAACACCAGUGGCGAAGGCGGCCUGCUGGACGAUGACUGACGUUGAGGCUCGAAAGCGUGGGGAGCAAACAGGAUUAGAUACCCGCGUAC
rnacentral:rRNA from 1 species